rnacentral:snRNA from 1 species
AUUGCUUCUUAGCUUCUUGGAUCUAAGAUCAAAUUGUAGUGUCUGUUCUUAUCAUUUUAAUAUCUGAUAUGUCCUUUAUUUAAAGACUUUAUAUUAAAUUGAUUUUUGAAACAGGGGGCUGGAAUAGGAGCUUGCUCUGUCCACCCCAUGCAUUGACCUGGUAUUGCAGUACCUCCAGGACCGGUGCAUCUCCU